rnacentral:rRNA from 1 species
UGGGGCUACACGCGUCAUACAAUGGCUGGUACCAAAGGGUUGCCAACCCGCGAGGGGGAGCCAAUCCCAUAAAGCCAGUCGUAGUCCGGAUCGUAGUCUGCAACUCGACUACGUGAAGUCGGAAUCGCUAGUAAUCGUGGAUCAGAAUGUCACGGUGAAUACGUUCCCGGGUCCUU